rnacentral:lncRNA from 1 species
GUGAGUUCGAGUCUCCCCAAGAGCAAGGUGGGAAGUUCUUGGAGGGAAGGAUGCUGGGGGUCUAUUUGGAAACAGCCUCUCUACCCAAGGGUGGGGUAAGGUCUGCGUACAUACUACCCUCCCCAGAGCCCACUUAGUGGGAUUAUACAGGGUGGUUGUUGUUGUUGUUGUUGGUUCAAAGAAAAACAUAACUUUUAUAGUGAAUGACUGUUAUAGGGAGAUACUGUUAUAAAAAGGUCAGUCAAACUGUACAGUUUAAUAUAUUUGGUCCUCCUUUUUUCUAGUAUCAAUGGUAGGAUUAUAUAUUUGUCUUUAGGUUAACAAUGUUACUUGCUUUAGGAUACUGUUUGCUCUAGAUCUGUAAUCUUCUUCUAGAUACUUAUGUGACCUUCGUUUUUUGGUCCAUAAUCAAUCCAUGGAGCUGUGAUUUUAGUUAACGUGAACGAUUAACGUAUGCCAGUUAGUGGGUUAUAAAAUAUCUAUUUCCUAUCCCUUCUACAUAUAAGAAAAUGAAAGUCUUUUUUCUGUUUAAAUGUGCUUUCUGAAAAGUUUGCCAAGCUAGUAAAAGCUCUGGUUGGUCAUAGUUUUGGAUUAUGUGAAUCUGUGGACCUUUCAGUGUGACUCCUAACUUUGCAGCUUAUUUUUCAAUCUCGUGCAUCUUAUCUUCUUGCUUUUGUAGUUUUGAUGUUUCUGUGUAGAUUUAUAUGACUUGAAUUCCGGCUUAUAGUGAGCAGUAACAUGUCGAAUAAUUUUGCAUAACAAUCUUCGUUGUGAUCUUUGAGUGUAGAAAUCAUUUGAAGAAGCAAUGGAAUCUGUAGAAAAAUCUAAAGCAUUUGAUGACAAAAGAUGAAGAGUUGUGCUGUAUAGUUGUCUGCUUUUGUCGACCGGGUUUGAAAUGCUCAUGGAAACAUUGCAUCAUAUCUUCUGAAGUGGAAAUAUACUAUUGGAAUUUGCAAAUGGGUGAGCUGAGAUAUUCAAUUCUUGCAUCAUACCUUCUGAAGUGGAAAUAUACUAUUGGAAUUUGCAAAUGGGUGAGCUGAGAUAUUCAAUUGCUGUCAAAAUUGCUCAAACUUUUGACAGAAAUAAAAAGGGAGAGAGUUUGGUAAGGGAGUUGAGCAGCGGUGUGUACCCUUGUAUAGAAGAAACAAAUCAGUGGGUUGCGUUGCUCUUCUUGUAUCGUGUAAUACUAACCAAAUAAAAAUUUGUACAGAAUUCUUUUGAUCGGUAAGUGGAUAGAUGUCAAAUAGAUACGAGUCGACUUGCCUAAAGUAUAAUGUAUUACAUGUUAAAAUUUAGAGUACAAUAAGAGACUUCCAACGCCACCAAACCAUGUAGUACAACGAGUUUAGAUGUAAAACUUCUUCGGUGAGGC